UAUUAGGUUGGUUCAAAAGUAAUUGCGGUUUUUGCCAUUACUUUUAGUGCCAAAAUCGCAAUUACUUUUUUACCAACUUAGUAC
rnacentral:miRNA from 1 species